GGCUCAGAGGAGGGACCAGGCAAGGACCAGUCAGGAGGCAGAGCUGUCCCCAAGCGAGCCAUGCAGAGGGUCUGCCCCUUCAUCCACCUCACCCUCUUCUGGGCAGGAGUCAUGUCACCUGCCGUGUUGGUGCCUCAAGACCAAGAAAAGACUGUGCCUGUGGGGAAAUCUGUCACCCUCAGUUGCUCCAUGAAAGGAGACUCCAUCAGUAAACACUAUAUUUUCUGGUACAGGAAGACCCCGGGUAACACAAUGACUUUCAUAUACCGAGAAGGGGGUACAUAUGGCCCUGGGUUUGAGGACAACUUCCGAGGUAAAAUUGAUGGUUUAACCAACCAGGCCAUGCUGGAGGUCCUGAAGGCAUCAAAGAGAGAUGAAGGAUUUUACUACUGUGCCAGUAUUACCACCCUGCUGCAGGUUCACUUCUAAGCAACUCAAUAAACACAGAGAUCUAAGUGGAACAGCAUUUUCAACAAGAGCAUGACUUUCUCUUGAAGAAAUAGUUUAACAAACGGAGGCCAGAGAAGGCUGAUGUCCAUGCCUUUCCUUCAGGUUCAGUGGCUCAUAUCCUGCCCACAAGCUCCUGUGGUGCUUAGAUAAGCAAUCCCUAAUGGGGUGCGGCCCAGUGUGGGGCAGGAGAGAAGAGACAGAACAAGAGUCAGAAAUUGUAGCAUUUACUGUACACCCCUAACAGUUUUCUUGGAGCUUCAUAAAAGAUUUGGCUACACAGCCUGAAGUACUUAGGAUAUGAUGUAAAGAAUAUGACUAUGGCAAGCUCCAGUUUCUCCCCAACCAUAUACACCAGGAAUUUAGCUGUCCUCGAUGAGCAGGGCUGGGAACGUGGAAAGACUUCUUCAUUCCUUUGGCGUCAAUGAGACACAAGGCCUGUCAUCAUCCCAACAUGGAGGAGGUCCAGUCACUGAAUCAUCUGCGGGGACCAUAAGAAGCACCGGGAACUCCCUAAGGACCAUCUGCAAUGCCUCUGGGUUUAACUUUCCAGUAGGUCACUCACAGUAGUUCACUCUUCUGGGUGAACUACUACCUUCAAGUUCUAGAAAGACCGCAUGAAUUUUCUUUCUAAAAUUAAUCCCUUCGGACUAAGGUUAAGCAUUUCAAAUUUUCCUUGGAGGGAAGAUUUAUUCUCACUAUGAACAACAUCAGCAAUCACUUAUAUUUACAAACAAACAGACUGAAACCAGAGGCUGAGUAUUCUUGUGCUUUCACCACUACGAACCACAAAGAAACUGAGGGGGGUUGAAAUCUCCCUAGUAAGCAGAAUAAAAAGGAGAAUCUGCAUGUAAAUCAGUGAUCUUUCCCCAGCUGGAUCUCGCUGUCCCAGACCUACACCUCCAUCUUAAUCAUACUUGGUCCUCUGUUAUUUUCAUCUGAAAUGGUCUCUUUGCUUUGCUAUUUUGAACUUUCCCAAUCUUUUCAUCUUCCAACUUACUGCAUCCAGAGGUGGCUGGGCCAAAGGGUGAAAAUAGAUGUGAUGGUACCCUAAGGAACCAGCCUUGAAUGACCCUUUCAGAAGUCCUGCUGGCCAGAAGGCUUGUUCUGAAUGAUGACAGGUGGUCAGAAAGUUAAACGCAUAUCUGCCUCUCAUGUGAAGCUGACCAUGCGCCAUGGAUGCUUUUAUUAGCCCUUGAAUUCUAGAACUUUGGAGAAAAGAGACAGAAAGAGCAAAACAUAUAAUUAUACUAACAGGAAAGAAAGAUGAGAGUGGGAUUUUCUGAGUUUCAGAUAAACACGUUCUAUAAUCCUUCCCACAUUUCAGAUCUGUGAAAACAUCCUUAUCGUGUUAACCGAGUUUCCUGGCACAGUUUAAGUAGGCGUAUUUUCCUCUCUUAAAUAGGUGGCAAUAUAGUGCAGAUAACAAAAGUGAUUAUACAAGAAUAAAUAUGCUUAUCAUUCACAAAAAUAUUAAAAUGUGUUGAACUUAGCAAUCACCUGAAAAUGGUCCCUCAUGUUGGUAAGGUCUUUUUACCUAUCUUGAUAUGAACAAGUUUAAAUAUUUGGUCUAAAAAAUUUAGUCUAUAAGCUGCAUAUGUGUUUUUGUACAUGAGUUCUUUGAAUUGUAAAAAGAGCAUGGGUGGUGGAAUCAGACAAAAGUAAGAAAGAAUCAUAGCUCCUCAUU